rnacentral:ribozyme from 11 species
UGAAUUCAGAGAGAAGAAAUGAAAGAAAAAAAGAGAUGGAAGAAAGGAUCCGUAGGACUUUUCUUUGGACAGAUGCGCUUCAUUGUCUUUUCUCACUCGCGUUUUGGGUUUCCUGUCCUUUCCUUCUCU